GUAAGGAAUAUUGCUCAAUGGGAGAAAUCCUGAAGCAGCAACGCCGCGUGGAGGAUGAAGGGUCUAUGACUUGUAAACUCCUGUAAAGAAGGAAAAAAUUCCCAUUAGAUGGGAGAUGAUGGUACUUCUGGAGUAAGCCCCGGCUAACUACGUGCCAGCAGCCGCGGUAAUACGUAGGGGGCAAGCGUUGUCCGGAUUUACUGGGUGUAAAGGGUGCUCAGGCGGAUUUGUAAGUCAGAGGUGAAAUCUUACAGCUUAACUGUGAAACUGCCUUUGAUACGGCAAGCCUAGAGUAUGGAAGAGAGUGAUGGAAUAUCUGGUGUAGCAGUGAAAUGCGUAGAUAUCAGAUAGAACACCAAUGGCGAAGGCAGUCACUUGGUCCAUUACUGACGCUAAAGCACGAAAGCGUGGGUAGCAAAC
rnacentral:rRNA from 1 species